rnacentral:rRNA from 1 species
UACGAAGGGGGCGAGCGUUGUUCGGAUUUACUGGGCGUAAAGGGCGCGCAGGCGGCGGACCAAGUCAGGCGUGAAAGCCCCGGGCUUAACCUGGGAGGUGCGUCUGGGACUGGUAUGCUAGAGUUCGGGAGAGGAGAGUGGAAUUCCCAGUGUAGAGGUGAAAUUCGUAGAUAUUGGGAAGAACACCAGUGGCGAAGGCGGCUCACUGGCCCGUAGCUGACGCUGAGGUGCGAAAGCGUGGGGAGCAAACAGG